AUGUUGCUUGAGGUGAAGAUAGCAAACAAGACAUUAGGUAUACAGGUCUGGGCUUAGGUGAGAGGUCCACAUUAGAGAGAUGGAUUUGGUCUUCAGGGAGCCAUUGUCACCCCUAGUCUGAAGCUUGUACUUGUCACAAAGUUACUGGAAGUGCCACAGCAUCUGCUGCCUAAAAACCCAAGAAUCCGAAUGCACACGACUGCUGCAGGAGUCACAUGUAGACACCUUCCCUUGCCUGCUACUACUGCUAUCCAAAGCUUCACCAAGUCAGGGGAAAAGAAAGAUUGCCUCCCAGUCUUUCACCAGCACAUCCUAGGAUCACAACUUUACGAGAAGCCAGCUGCAAUGCCAAGUGAGUACACCUAUGUGAAACUGAGAAGUGAUUGCUCGAGGCCUUCCCUGCAAUGGUACACCCGAGCUCAAAGCAAGAUGAGAAGGCCCAGCUUGUUAUUAAAAGACAUCCUCAA
rnacentral:lncRNA from 1 species